AAUAUGGAGAGAGAAGGGAAACCGGAUUGGGAUAGGUUGCAGGCCAGGUUCGAACCUGCAUCACCCAUGUGAGCACCAAAGCCCAACACUUCUAAACAGAAUGUGAUGUGAGCUUGCAGGGUUUAAGAUCAUAAAAGACAGUGAUCAUGGAGGAUAAAAGGAAAUUGGAUCAAGACGGGUUGCAGGCCAGAAUCGAACCUGUGUCACCCAUGUGAGCACCACAGCUCAACAUUUCUGACAUGAUUAUGGCUUUGAUGACACCAUCAUGAUGUUCUGGAAAAAAACAGCCCAGAUAAGCCACGGUUUUAUCUCUAGCACAGUUCAUCAACUCCUCAGCACGAGGACUGCUAACCAACGCAGCGCCUGCACAUGCUAAUUACUGGACCAUGGUUAGCUUCAAACCUCAGAUGUGCUUCCAUCAAAAUAUGUGCCCUGCUUUUUGCUUUUAUGAGAUUUUUAUCUAUCUGUAAGAAUUUGAAAAAGAGUAAAGGUUUAAAAGUUUAAAUUACUGAGACUUUCUGUAGCCUGGAGUGCAUGCUGCAAUGCAAAUGAGCUAAAAACAUUGUCACCAAACUGAAUAAGCUCUUUUUGUAUAGACAAAUGUAUUGCUAUUCUUUUUUAUUUUUAAUU